rnacentral:lncRNA from 1 species
UUGGCCAGGAAUAAUUUUUUUGGGGUGGUAAAUAACUUGAUUUAAAAUUUAAUUCUGUUUUGCAUGUUGUGCUAUAUAUCAGAUUUUUUUUUAUACAAAAACACAUUUUCCAAUUGGCAUUAGUUUACCCAUUAUGCCCAUUUUGGGAUAGAAUUUUUCUUAAUCAUAAAACUCCAAGGGCUCUUAAAUGGUUGGUGCCUUAAUUUAACAUAAUGAAUUCAUUGAAUAAUGCUUUCCCAAUACUGAUGAUUUAUAAAUGAUUAGCACUGUAACAUUUGUGGAUUUGUGACUUUAAGAAAGCCAACAUUGGUAUAUAUGCAAUAAUUGCUUAUUUACAUGCUUUAAGAGCCAAACGUAUGUGCUAGUGUUUUUUAUUCAGAGACAAAAUGUUGAACUUACUUCUAGUCUAUAUAAAAUUUGAUUUAUUUUCUAAACAUUGGUGCAGAAAUAUUGACCAUAUAGGUGACUGGCUAGAAAUUACAUCCUUUGAAAUUAACAUUUUAUUUCUAGUUCCUAUACAUUUGUAGUAACUUAUGAACUGUUUAUCUUAGAUAAGAUUACUACAAUUUCGUUUUUAUUGACAAUGAACGUUUCAUACAUUUAUAUAGCAAUGCCCAUUUUUUUUGGAAGACUAGAACAAUCUUUUUUUCAGUAAGAUGUGUUUUAA